UCUCCGUUAGUGAACCAGCGGAGGGAUCAUUACCGAGUUUACAACUCCCAAACCCAAUGUGAACGUUACCAAACUGUUGCCUCGGCGGGGUCACGCCCCGGGUGCGUCGCAGCCCCGGAACCAGGCGCCCGCCGGAGGAACCAACCAAACUCUUUCUGUAGUCCCCUCGCGGACGUUAUUUCUUACAGCUCUGAGCAAAAAUUCAAAAUGAAUCAAAACUUUCAACAACGGAUCUCUUGGUUCUG
rnacentral:misc_RNA from 1 species